rnacentral:rRNA from 1 species
GAGGGGUAACAGGGGAGCUUGCUCCCGCUGACGACCGGCGCACGGGUGCGGAACGCGUAUGGAACCUACCUCAAUCAGGGGGAUAGCCCAGGGAAACUUGGAUUAAUACCCCAUAGUAUUGUUUUAUUGCAUGAUAAAACAAUUAAAACUUCGGUGGAUUGAGAUGGCCAUGCGUAUCAUUAGCUAGUUGGUAAGGUAACGGCUUACCAAGGCAACGAUGAUUAGGGGCCCUGAGAGGGGGAUCCCCCACACUGGUACUGAGACACGGACCAGACUCCUACGGGAGGCAGCAGUGAGGAAUAUCGGACAAUGGUCGCAAGACUGAUCCAGCCAUGCCGCGUGCAGGAUGACUGCCCUAUGGGUUGUAAACUGCUUUUGUACGAGAAGAACACCCUCUUCGUGAAGAGGACUGACGGUAUCGUACGAAUAAGGACCGGCUAACUCCGUGCCAGCAGCCGCGGUAAUACGGAGGGUCCGAGCGUUAUCCGGAAUCAUUGGGUUUAAAGGGUCCGUAGGCGGGCUAUUAAGUCAGAGGUGAAAUUGUGCAGCUCAACUGUAGAACUGCCUUUGAUACUGAUAGUCUUGAGUUAUGGUGAGGUAGCCGGAACAUGUGGUGUAGCGGUGAAAUGCAUAGAUAUCACAUAGAACGCCGAUUGCGAAGGCAGGUUACCAACCAUAUACUGACGCUGAUGGACGAAAGCGUGGGGAGCGAACGGGAUUAGAUACCCCGGUAGUCCACGCCG